rnacentral:misc_RNA from 1 species
AACGCACCUUGCGCUCCUUGGUAUUCCGAGGAGCACGCCUGUUCGAGUGUCGUGAAGCUCUCAAGCUGGAUGCUUUUUCGAAAGUGAUCUGUAGGCUUGGAAUUGGACCAUUGCGGCUUUCUCUGGAGAGCGGCUCGUCCGAAAUGCAUUAGCUGACCCUUGUCUGCGGACGUGGUUCUACUCGACGUGAUAAUCAUCAGUCGUCGAGGACGGCUUCAGCAAUGAAGUCGGCCAUUUCUGCCUCGGGACGCUUCUAAUCGUGUUCCUAGGAGCACAACUUUUCUGACUUUGACCUCGAAUCAGGUGGGACUACCCGCUGAACUUAA